rnacentral:lncRNA from 1 species
GGAAGUGCCGCUGCCCUCUCCCUCACGGAGGGGCGUCGAAAGCGGCGCGAAGGAACGGCGGCAGUGAAGGCGGAGAUGGCGGUCGGAUGAACCCUUUAUUGAGCCGGAGAUCAGCGGGGAGCGCAGCGCAGUGCCUCGGGGCCGGCUCCGGGGGGCUCAAGCCCCAGAUGGGUGCAGCCUGUAGGGCUGCGUGGCGAGGCCUGUGGGGCUCUGGGGCUGCCAGAGUGAGGCCCGUGGGCCUGCUGCCUAAUUUCUCUGCUCCCCGUCAUCUCUUGGCGUCUCGUCCUCCUCCGCCGGGUGCUGGCUGUUGUCACGGCUCGUCCCCUCGUCCUCUGAGUUGGUUUCGUCAGAGUCCUCCUCCAGGUAGCGGUAUCCGCUGGCCCUGUGGCGCGGGCGUGGCAUGCGGGGCAGGCGGAAGGCCACGCGCUGUGCCAGCCGGCGCUCCAUCCAGAUAUAAGAACCCGCCGCCAGCCCCAGCGCCAGCAGCAUGAGGGACAGCUUGGCCUAGGGGAUGGCAGGGGUCAGCACGUGGGACAGCCUCACUGUGCCCGCCGCCCGCCCCCCCCCCUCCCCCCUCCACCCCUCCGCCUUCAUCCCAGCCCUGCUCACCUUCAUGGGCAGCCCUGACCACAAGUACACGGUGAAGAUGGCCAGCGCCUGCCACCAGUGGUAGAUGGUGAAGAUGAAGUCUUGGCGCUCUUUGUCUUCAUACAGCAUGCCCAGGAGGACUGGGUGGAGGGAGGCAGGCACGUGCUGUCAGCAUCCCCAGCCUAUGGUGUCGUCCUGUGCUAACUGCUAGUGGGCCUACAGAGCUGGGGACCGCUGGGGCACACAAAGACAGGACGAGCUGGGGACAGCAUGCCCUACCCACAGAGCUGGGGACCGCCAGGGCGCAUGAGGACAGGAUGAGUUGGGAACAACCUGCUCUACUCAGAGGGCUGGAGGCCACUGGGGGACUCAAGGACAGAGUGAGCUGGGGACGGUCUGCUCUAUUCAUGGAGGUGGGGACCAUCGGGGGACAAGAGUACAGAAUGAGUUAGGGACAACCCGCCCUACCCACAGAACUAGGACCACCGGGAGACACGAGAACAGGAUGAGCUGGGGACAACCUGCCCUACCCGUGGAACUGGGGAACACAAGGCGAGGAUGAUCUGGAAACAACUUGCCCACUCCUGGGGACGCCUGAGACUGCUGGGACAUUCCCACUACUCACUGCUAAUGCCAGUCUUGUUGAGGGCACUGCCCAUUCCCCAGAGUGCGGCUAUGGUGUAAAGCAGAGGUGCCUGCUCCACUUGUUGGGGCUUGGGCGCCCAGCAGAAGAGCAUCACCAGGAUAGCAGCGUGGAGCAAGGCUCCGGCCAGCAAUGGGUACUGACGCCGCAGGCGCAGCAUGCAGAGGGCAAGGCUGGAGCAGGUGGAGGCGGAGAAGCCGUAGGCGAUGAGGAGGUAUGCCAGCUUCUCCAGCCCCAGGGUGCACACGCCAUAGUUCUGCAUCGACGACAGGCUCAGCAUCGUGCAGCCGUGCCGUCCCCACGCCACCACCCCAUCCCAGCUCUGUGCUGUACCAGGGAGAAGUCGUUGCAGACGAAGAGCACUUCAAAGCCGCUGUAGAUGAAGAAAGGAAGGAGGUGGCGGAGGCGAUAGUCCCGCAUGUGCUUGAAGGGCAGCUGGAAUAUGUUCCCCCAGCCAAUGCUGCGCAGGUCAAUCUCCUCAGUGGUCCCGUACGCCGAGCCGCAGAGCAGCAGGACCUGCAUUGUGGUGGCAGGUGACAUGCUGAUGGCCACUUGCCCCAUCCUGUCCUAUCUUAUAACCAGCCCACCGCAGGAGCUUGGAACUGGAAGAUCUUUAAGGUCCCUUCCAACCCAAACCAUUCUCUGAUUCUACAAUUUCGUGCUCACCAUCAGCAUGGCAAGGAAGGCAGCUGCCAUCAGGACGCUCUCCACCAUAAUGAGGUUGACGCUGCGGGGCAGACUGUCCAGCACCGUCUUGUUGAAGCCAGUCAGCAUGCCGUGGCUCAGGGUACCUGCAGGGGCAUGCACUCCGGGCUCAGCACUGGCCAGGAUUGUGCCACCACAACCCUAUGUUGCUGCCCCGUGUGCUCACCACAGUGCUUCACCCCAGAGAGUGUGUGGUUGAGCUGGUAGAUGUAAUUGUUGAGGAAGAAGAGCAUGGGCAUCUGCGCGCAGAUGAAGCUCAGCUGCAAGAUGCAGAGUGGUGGACAUUCAGCACUGGGCUGUCCCCUUUGUCCCCUCCCUGUCCCUGCUGGCCCUCACGUGAAAGCAAAUGUAGAAGAUGGUCUGGAAGACGACAAUGUAGGCACUGCAGGCUCCGCGUGGUGCUUGCCGCUGCUCCUGCACGUGUUCCUCCUUGUAGUUGGCGUACUCGUAGUACUUCUGUGCCAUCCUGUAGUGGAGUGUGGGUCAGCCUCUGCCCUGUCCCACUGUUCCCUUCUCCCCCUGCCACCUACCGCGUAAUGUAGUUGCCCAGGGAGGCCCAGAACGGCACGAUGGCCACCCCGAUGGCCACAGCAGAGGGCACCAGCGUGAAGUAGCGCUCCCAGUAGUUGCUGGAGACAAAGAGGGCAUAGAUGCCCACGGCCAGGAACAUGGUCCACUUGGUGCCGAAGAACCGGAUGAGGACAGGCGUGUAGAGCAGUGCCACCACGGGGGUGACGUUGAUGCCCAUCAGCACCUUGCGGUCGAUGUCUUCCAGCUCCAUGUUGCUGUACUUCACCUCCCGGUAUCCCCGGUGGGCAUGCAUCCAGAGGACAGCACUGCAGCCAAAAACCCCAAAUCAACCCCUAAUCGCCUUGCAGAGGAUGGAUAUGGGCCAGGAGGACCCUGCACCGAGGCAGGGACUGCUCAGGGCUGGGCUCCAUUCCCCCAAGUACAGAAGCACUUUGGGGUGAAUCCGUGCCCCCUAUACUUGGCGGUGCUGCUUGGGAUCUGGGGGCAGCACCAUCCUGCUGUCCUGGCACGGGGCAUGGGGCAGGGCUGCUGCCUUCCUGUUUACAAAGCAGCGUCAUUAAUUAGGGCGUGCGGCGAG